UCCUUCCUUCCUUCCUUCCUUUUUUUUUUCUCUUUGAGACAGGGUCUUGCUGUGUUGCCCAGGCUGGAGUGCAGUGGUGUCUUGGCUCAUACAAGCAGCCUUGACCUCCCGGGCUCAAGUGAUCUAUUCAGCCCCCGUCCCCAUGGAGGAAGCUGGGACUACAGGCGCACGCCACCACACCCAACUAAUUUUGUAUAUUUUUGGUAGAGACAGGAUUUCGCCAUGUUGCUCAGACACUAGUCUCGAACUCCUGGACUCAAACUGGAACUGGGCUUGAACUCCUGGACUCCUGCCUCAGCCUCCCAAAGUGCUGGGAUUACAGGUGCCCGGCCUCAGGGCCGUUUUCUUAGAGGGAGUGGAGAACUGGCCCAGGCAGGGGAGUAAGACAAGCUGCCACCUAGCUGGGGCGUGCCUGGCUGCAGUGCCUGAAGAGCCCACCGUGGAUUCUCUCCAUGCUGGUCGGGCUGCAGCCCAGGGACUGGCCACUGACCAGAGAGGAAGAGCAGGAUCCCAGAGGAAGGAUUGAAAUCUCUUUGAAGGCAGACACAGCAUCUUGUACUGUGGUACGCUGGUACCUCUAGGUUCCUGGCACCGAAGCUGACACAUACAAAGGGUUCCUUAGAAUUUGGUUGCAUAGUUGAUGAAAGCACAAACCCAGAGCGGCAGCAGCAUCCGUCAGCAUGUCUGGGGUGCCAGGGGGCUUCGCUCAUUUAGACUUUACCACCGCAUUACAAGGGAAGUAGUAUCCUUAUUCCCAUUUUACAGAUAAGGAGGCUGAGGUCCAGAGAGGUUAAGAAACCAGGGUGGACAGAAAGCCAUGGGGUGUGGAGAGCGGCCAAAAGGGCCUGGGGGAGGGGCUGUGUUGGGGCCUGGUGGAGAUGGUAGGAAGUGAGAAGAGGGCCCGGAGGAGGGUGCAGAGGGUCAGUUCUGGGAAGGGACAAGGGGCUCCCUGUGCCGGGCUGGUGAGGCCAUACAAGCAGGGAAGCGGUCCCUGAUGGGGUACCCGGAGGACUCCCCACUCCUGUCCCCAAACACCUCAAAGUCUCUCCCAAGAGUCAAGCUGGGUCCUCCUCCAGUUUCCCCUCCUCCCAAAGUCCAGUUCCUGGGACAGGACGAUGUCGUGAGGCCGGCGUCUCAGGGGCCAGCUGCCUCUAAGGUGGAGGUCAGGGGAGGAAGAGGCCGCCAAGGGCCCUGACCCCCAGAGGGUCACUGGCCUCAGCCCCACCCUGACAAAGAGGCAGACUGACUCAGCUUCCUCCCAGCAUCUCUCCAGGAACGCUCGCCAGGUCAUUUACCCUGAGCCCACUGGAGGCCUUGGGUUUAAUUACCCAAAGCCCUGAACUUUAGACUUCCCAGAGCUGACAACAGGGCGCUGGGGAUGUUCUUAGAAACUUCAACUUCAGGACACAGUGGGGAAUGGUGGGAAAGGUGGAAGGGCAGGAGGGAGCCAGAGGGACGGAGGUUGGACUGAGACUGGUGCUUCCCCGCCGGGCACCCCAGGAGAGACCGGCAGGGCGUCCGUGAGGGGAGGGGGCUUCUGCCCCACCCAAGGUCUCCAGGGGGCGUCUUCUGUACAGAGUGGCCCGGGAUCCAACCAGUGGGAGGCCCUGCCUGGAGGCCGGCCCGUCCCCAGCUAAGGCUUGGUCAGAGAGGACGAGCUGUGGCGCCAGGGUCUUCUCUUGGCAGUUGAGGCCUGCCAGCUGUCAGAAACUGAUGUUUUAGAACCAUGAAGAAUAAAUCCUUCUGAUUUCC